UUUAACUCAGAGCAACUGAAUAUCCAGCAAGUUAAGAGGUGUAUAGCAUAUUAAAGUCUAUAAAUACCUGUUCAGAGUGCAGUUUAGAAGGAGAAAAGCAUGUUCUGGGCUCUUGAUUUUUACCCUGAAGACUCUUCUCUCCAGAAGAUAGUCUUAAGCUCGGGCUCUUUUGUAUUCAUAAGCCUUCUUCUGCCAUUCAAGCUCCCCAGUAGCUUUCUGAUUUGUUUCCAAGCACAGUAGGUCUAGCAAGACAAGUAACCUCUAACAGCUCCCUGUGUAAAAGUGGCCCUGCCACUGUAAUUCAAGUAUCUUUUAUACCUUCCUGUCUAGAGGUGACUUACCUGCCCCACCAGUCUUUCCCAAUUACCACUGAAUCAUUCCAUUGGCUGCAAGUGCACUUCCACUCUGGGCUGGUUUCUAUGACAAACAGGGCAGGCUGGAAUGCUACUGAUAAGGAAUAGCACUACAGAAAACACACGCUUGUAUUGUACGCUGUAUGGAAGUGUUGAUGAGAAAUGUUUAUUUGUUUGUCUUCUCAGGCCUGGGCAAUACCUUCUGCUUUCUGGUAAGAAAACUCCAGUAAAAGUUGGAAAGCCUGAAAGCCAUUUAUAAAUCAACUGAGCCACUCUGUACAAUCAUGUCUGCUUCAAGAUCCUAUUGAAUUGUUCAAAUUAACCCUGUAUGGAUUGUUACAGAGAAGAAAUUUCAUUCUUUACAGCUUUUGGUAGUAUUUGACAUAGAAAAACAUGAUUCGACCUGUAAAUUUCUAAUGGUUCACAGGACAUCAGACCAUGGUCCACAAAAAUGAAAUAAAAAUAUAUAUACUCACA
rnacentral:lncRNA from 1 species